rnacentral:misc_RNA from 1 species
GGUUAUGAUAAUAUUUGGCUCCAUAAUAUGAUUGAAGCUGUUGGCAGUGAUGGUGGCGUGAAUUUUCAAGAUGGGUCGAAAAUCCUUGCUGACAUCAUCCUACACUGCACAGGGUACAAAUAUCAUUUUCCUUUCCUCGAAACUAACGGGAUAGUGACUGUGGAUGACAACCGUGUUGGUCCACUUUACAAGCACGUUUUCCCACCAGCCUUUG